GACUGAGUGGCGGACGGGUGAGUAACGCGUGGGUAACCUGCCCUGUACAGGGGGAUAACAGUCAGAAAUGACUGCUAAUACCGCAUAAGACCACAGCACCGCAUGGUGCAGGGGUAAAAACUCCGGUGGUACAGGAUGGACCCGCGUCUGAUUAGCUAGUUGGUGAGGUAACGGCUCACCAAGGCGACGAUCAGUAGCCGGCUUGAGAGAGUGAACGGCCACAUUGGGACUGAGACACGGCCCAAACUCCUACGGGAGGCAGCAGUGGGGAAUAUUGCACAAUGGGGGAAACCCUGAUGCAGCGACGCCGCGUGAGCGAAGAAGUAUUUCGGUAUGUAAAGCUCUAUCAGCAGGGAAGAUAAUGACGGUACCUGACUAAGAAGCCCCGGCUAACUACGUGCCAGCAGCCGCGGUAAUACGUAGGGGGCAAGCGUUAUCCGGAUUUACUGGGUGUAAAGGGAGCGUAGACGGCAAGGCAAGUCUGAUGUGAAAACCCAGGGCUUAACCCUGGGACUGCAUUGGAAACUGUCUGGCUCGAGUGCCGGAGAGGUAAGCGGAAUUCCUAGUGUAGCGGUGAAAUGCGUAGAUAUUAGGAAGAACACCAGUGGCGAAGGCGGCUUACUGGACGGUAACUGACGUUGAGGCUCGAAAGCGUGGGGAGCAAACAGG
rnacentral:rRNA from 1 species